rnacentral:rRNA from 1 species
AGCGAACGCUGGCGGCAGGCCUAACACAUGCAAGUCGAACGAACCUUUCGGGGUUAGUGGCGGACGGGUGAGUAACACGUGGGAACGUGCCUUUAGGUUCGGAAUAACUCAGGGAAACUUGUGCUAAUACCGAAUGUGCCCUUCGGGGGAAAGAUUAAUCGCCUUUAGAGCGGCCGGCGUCUGAUUAGCUAGUUGGUUGAGGUAAUGGCUCACCAGGGCGACGAUCAGUAGCUGGUCUGAGAGGAUGAUCAGCGACAUUGGGACUGGGACACGGCCCAAACUCCUACGGGAGGCAGCAGUGGGGAAUCUUGCGCAAUGGGCGAAAGCCUGACGCAGCCAUGCCGCGUGAAUGAUGAAGGUCUUAGGAUUGUAAAAUUCUUUCACCGGGGACGAUAAUGACGGUACCCGGAGAAGAAGCCCCGGCUAACUUCGUG